rnacentral:rRNA from 1 species
CGCCCUUGAGUUUGAUCAUGGCUCAGGACGAACGCUGGCGGCGUGCCUAAACCUGCAAGUCGAGCGAUGAAGCCCUUCGGGGCUGAUUAGCGGCGGACGGGUGAGUAACACGUGGGUAACCUGCCUCAUAGAGGGGGAUAGCCUCCCGAAAGGGAGAUUAAUACCGCAUAACAUAUUUUGGUCGCAUGAUCGAAAUAUCAAAGGAGUAAUCCGCUAUGAGAUGGACCCGCGGCGCAUUAGCUAGUUGGUGAGGUAACGGCUCACCAAGGCGACGAUGCGUAGCCGACCUGAGAGGGUGAUCGGCCACAUUGGAACUGAGACACGGUCCAGACUCCUACGGGAGGCAGCAGUGGGGAAUAUUGCGCAAUGGGGGAAACCCUGACGCAGCAACGUUUUUUUUUUUGAUGAAGGCCUUAGGGUUGUAAAGUUCUGUCUUCUGGGACGAUAAUGACGGUACCAGAGGAGGAAGCCACGGCUAACUACGUGCCAGCAGCCGCGGUAC